rnacentral:misc_RNA from 1 species
GUCUGUGUUGACUCCACCUGGCGCAGUGUCCUAGCAACAAGUGCUUCUAUCACAGGGCCUCUAUCAUCGUUCAAAAGAUGCACUUCAUCAAUAAUUAAGAGCUUCACCAGCAUUGAAAGUGACAUGUCACUGCUUUUACGAGUAAUGACAUCCCAUUUCUCAGGUGUUGUCACUAUCAUCUGAGUUUCUUCAAGUUCAUUCUUAGAGAGCUGCAUGUCACCAGUAAGUUCUCUCACAACCAUAUUCAGCGGAGAUAAACG